rnacentral:lncRNA from 1 species
AAGGGAGGCAAGUUAACAGGCCACUGUUAACUCAGGGUGGCUCUGAAAUUGGCUGUGGAAGUAUCUUGAUGGCCUGUGAGCCAGGUGUCUGCAGAGGAAGGGCGUGGGCAAGUUAACAGGCCAGAAGGAAGAUGGAAAGUGGUUGGCUUCUGAAAGGCUCCAUCCUCUGGCUCCGGCUCCAGUAAGCAGACCAUCCACUGGGAAGCAUCACCCUAGGCACAGUGAGGGGCAGAGGACUCAGAGUCCCUACCUGCCAGGAGCUUUGAGCACCUGUGACACGGUCACUCACCCCUGACUUUGUUACAUCUCUG